CAUGCACCAGUGGGGUCCCUUGGCCUGGCCUGCACCCUCUGGCAAUCGGGACCCCUUGAGGGAUGUUGGAGAGCCUGUUUCGACCUGAUCCUGCAGGCCAGGCCGAGGGACCCCACUGGUGCACA
rnacentral:pre_miRNA from 1 species